AAUUUUAUUUUUAUUUAAUUUAUAUUUAUAAUUUAUUUUAAUUAAAAUAAUAGAAUAUUAAUUAUUAAAAAGAAUAAUUUAUUAUUAUUAUAGUUCAUAGUAUUGUGAAAGAUUAAAUUUAUUUAUUUAUAAGAAGAAUUAGUUUUUUGUACCUUGUGUAUCAGGGCUUAUUAAAAAUAUUUUUUAUUAAUAUUUCUCGAAUUUAAAAGAGUUAAUAAAUUAAAUAUUUUAUUGUAAAAUAAAUAUUUAGAAUAAUUUAUUAGUAAUGAAAUGUUAUUCGUUUUUAAAUAUAUCUAGUUUUUUUAGAAAUAAAUUAAAUUUAAUUAUUUUUAAUAAGAUUUUAAAUAAUUAAAUUUUUAUUAUUAAUAUUUAAUAUUUUUAGGGAUGAGCUUAAAAAUUGAUUAUUAUUAAUAUUUAAAUUAUUUAUUAAAUUUUAGGAUUAGAAAUUUUCAUAUAUUUAUGUAUGUUAUUAUUUAUUAUAAUUUAAUAAGAUUUAUAUUUAUUAUUAGUUAUUUAUUGAAAUUUUGGUUUAAAUAAUUUAUAUCAUGAAAAUAUGAUAAGAUUAGUAAAAUAUAUUAUUUUGUAUUUAUAUUAGUUCUUAAAAGAUUUAAUAAAAGAAUUCAGCAAAUAAUUUUUCACCUGUUUAUUAAAAACAUGGCUUUUUGUUUAUAAUUUAAGGUCUAGCCUGCCCACUGAGUAUUUAAAUGGCUGCGGUAUUUUGACCGUACUAAGGUAGCAUAAUCAUUUGUUUUUUAAUUGAAAACUAGAAUGAAGGGUUGGAUGAAAAAAUAACUUUUUUUAUUAAAAUUAUUGAAUUUUAUUUUUAAGUUAAAAAGCUUAAAUAUUUUUAAAAGACGAGAAGACCCUAUAGAGUUUAAUAAUUAAUAAUUUUUAAGAUUUUUUGAAAUUAAUUUAUAUUUAAGUUAUUAUUAUUUAAUUGGGGCGAUUGAAAAAUUUAAUUAACUUUUUUUUUAUAAAAUUAUUUUAGAUAAUUAAUUGAUCCUAAUAUUUAGAUUAUAAGAUAAAAUUACCUUAGGGAUAACAGCGUAAUUUUAUUGGAAAGUUCAAAUUGAUAAUAAAGAUUGCGACCUCGAUGUUGGAUUAAAAUUAAUUUUGGGUGUAGAAGCUUAAAAAUUAAGUCUGUUCGACUUUUAAAAUUUUACAUGAUCUGAGUUUAAACCGGUGUAAGCCAGGUUGGUUUCUAUCUUUAAGUAGAUAAUUUAUUUUAGUACGAAAGGACCAAAUAAAUAAAUAAUA
rnacentral:rRNA from 1 species